rnacentral:pre_miRNA from 1 species
UUAACUCAAAUUUGUAUCGAGCUGGACAGUUUGCCUACGUUUGCCGCUAGGGUCGCUGUUCCAACUGUAUACAAGUUCGAGUUA